rnacentral:rRNA from 1 species
AGCAGCCGCGGUAAUUCCAGCUCCAAUAGCGUAUAUUAAAGUUGUUGCAGUUAAAAAGCUCGUAGUUGAAUUUCGGAAUCUGUCCGUCGGUCGGGCUUCACUGUCCGUACUGGCGUGAUGGGUUUCUACCUUCUGAAUAACCGGCAUGUCAUUAAUUUGGUGCGCCGGGGAAGCAGAACUAUUACCUUGAAAAAUUAGAGUGCUUAAAGCAGGCUAUCGCCUGAAUAGAUUAGCAUGGAAUAAUAAAAUAGGACGGCAUGGUUCUAUUUUGUUGGUUUCUAGGAUCACCGUAAUGAUUAAUAGGGAUAGUUGGGGGCAUUAGUAUUCAAUUGUCAGAGGUGAAAUUCUUGGAUUUAUUGAAGACUAACUUCUGCGAAAGCAUUUGCCAAGGAUGUUUUCAUUAAUCAAGAACGAAAGUUAGGGGAUCGAAGACGAUCAGAUACCGUCGUAGUCUUAACCAUAAACUAUGCCGACUAUGGAUCGGACGAUGUUAAUUUUUAAUGACUCGUUCGGCGCCUUA